rnacentral:rRNA from 1 species
UACGUAGGGUGCAAGCGUUGUCCGGAAUUAUUGGGCGUAAAGGGCUCGUAGGCGGUCUGUCACGUCGGGAGUGAAAACUCAGGGCUUAACCCUGAGCCUGCUUCCGAUACGGGCAGACUAGAGGUAUGCAGGGGAGAACGGAAUUCCUGGUGUAGCGGUGAAAUGCGCAGAUAUCAGGAGGAACACCAAUGGCGAAGGCAGCAGACUGGUCCACUCCUGACGCUGAAACACGAAAGCGUGGGUCGCGAAUGGG